rnacentral:rRNA from 1 species
GUUAAAGUCGUGGAAGCGGGUGGGGUAAUAGGGAUGGUGAAAGGGUGAAGAGGAAUGACUGGGAGGCAAGCGGUCGCAUGAGGCUUAGUAAGUCAGAUGUGAAAUCCAUAGGCUCAAACGAGGAACUGCAUUUGAAACUAAUAAACUAGAGUAUCGUAGAGGGGGGUAGAAUUCCAGGUGUAGCGGUGAAAUGCGUAGAUAUCUGGAGGAAUACCAGUGGCGAAGGCGACCUCCUGGACGAAAACUGACGCUCAAGCACGAAAGCAUGGGGAGCAAACAGGAUUAGAUACCCUAGUAGUC